UUAAGCAUAUCAAUAAGCGGAGGAAAAGAAACCAACAGGGAUUGCCCUAGUAACGGCGAGUGAAGCGGCAAAAGCUCAAAUUUGAAAUCUGGCUUCGGCCCGAGUUGUAAUUUGUAGAGGAUGUUUCGGGCACCGCCCCGGCGUAAGUCCCUUGGAACAGGGCGUCAUAGAGGGUGAGAAUCCCGUCUGGCGUCGUGGUAGGGCCCAUGUGAAACUCCUUCGACGAGUCGAGUUGUUUGGGAAUGCAGCUCAAAAUGGGUGGUAAAUUUCAUCUAAAGCUAAAUACUGGCCAGAGACCGAUAGCGCACAAGUAGAGUGAUCGAAAGAUGAAAAGCACUUUGAAAAGAGAGUUAAACAGUAUGUGAAAUUGUUGAAAGGGAAGCGCUUACAACCAGACUUGAGCCCGUCGGUUCCCCCUCGCUUCUGCGUGGGCUACUCCGGCGGGUCCAGGCCAACAUCGGUUCGGGUGGCUGGUCAAAGGCCCCGGGAAUGUACCUCACCUUCGGGUUAGGCUUAUAGCCCGGGGUGUCAUGCGGCCUACCUGGACCGAGGAACGCGCUUCGGCUCGGAUGUUGGCGUAAUGGUUGUCAGCGACCCAUCUUGAAACACGGACCAAGGAGUCGAAGAGCUAUGCGAGUGUUUGGGUGUCAAACCCGUACGCGUAAUGAAAGUGAACGGAGGUAGGAAGCUUCGGCUGCACUAUCGACCGAUCCUGAUGUUCUCGGAUGGAUUUGAGUAAGAGCAUAACUCUCCGGACCCGAAAGAUGGUGAACUAUGCCUGAAUAGGGUGAAGCCAGAGGAAACUCUGGUGGAGGCUCGCAGCGGUUCUGACGUGCAAAUCGAUCGUCAAAUUUGGGUAUAGGGGCGAAAGACUAAUCGAACCAUCUGGUAGCUGGUUCCUGCCGAAGUUUCCCUCAGGAUAGCAGUAACGUUUUCAGUUUUAUGAGGUAAAGCGAAUGAUUAGAGGCCUUGGGGUUGAAACAACCUUAACCUAUUCUCAAACUUUAAAUAUGUAAGAAGUCCUUGUUACUUAGUUGAACGUGGACAUUUGAAUGUAUCGUUACUAGUGGGCCAUUUUUGGUAAGCAGAACUGGCGAUGCGGGAUGAACCGAACGUGAGGUUAAGGUGCCGGACUGCACGCUCAUCAGACACCACAAAAGGUGUCAAUGCAUCUAGACAGCCGGACGGUGGCCAUGGAAGUCGGAAUCCGCUUAGGAGUGUGUAACAACUCACCGGCCGAAUGCAUUGGCCCUGAAAAUGGAUGGCGCUUAAGCGUGCGACCUAUACCUCGCCGUCAGGGUUGACAUGAUGCCCUGACGAGUAGGCAGGCGUGGAGGUUUGUGACGAAGCCUUGGGGGUGACCCCGGGUCGAACAACCUCUAG
rnacentral:rRNA from 1 species